rnacentral:snRNA from 1 species
GUUAUAGAAAGGUUACCUGUACUAAAAUUGCUACUAGAAGGUUAGCAUGGUCCCUGCGCAAAGAUGAACCCAAAAUAGUGAAGCGUUUCACAUUUUU